rnacentral:rRNA from 1 species
UACGUAGGUGGCAAGCGUUGUUCGGAAUUACUGGGCGUAAAGAGUGUGUAGGCGGUGCUCUAAGUCUGUUGUGAAAUCUCCCGGCUUAACCGGGAGGGUGCGGCGGAAACUGGAGUGCUUGAGGGUGGGAGAGGUAAGCGGAAUUCCUGGUGUAGCGGUGAAAUGCGUAGAUAUCAGGAGGAACACCUGUGGUGUAGACAGCUUACUGGACCACUUCUGACGCUGAGACACGAAAGCGUGGGUAGCAAACAGG